rnacentral:rRNA from 1 species
ACGGAGGGAGCUAGCGUUGUUCGGAAUUACUGGGCGUAAAGCGCACGUAGGCGGCUCAGCAAGUCAGGGGUGAAAUCCCGGGGCUCAACCCCGGAACUGCCUUUGAUACUGGGUGUCUGGAGUCCGGAAGAGGUGAGUGGAAUUCCGAGUGUAGAGGUGAAAUUCGUAGAUAUUCGGAGGAACACCAGUGGCGAAGGCGGCUCACUGGUCCGGUACUGACGCUGAGGUGCGAAAGCGUGGGGAGCAA